rnacentral:rRNA from 1 species
UUCUGCUUUUGGAAGCUACACAGGGUCCUACCGGGCCAGUACUUGGAUGGGAGAGCACCUGGGAAUACUGAGGGUGGCAGGAU